UCUAAAAUGACAGACAGAUGUGUAGGAUUUAAGCUCCUAAAAGGAAGUAUUCUUCUUUUAGAAC
rnacentral:tRNA from 1 species